rnacentral:lncRNA from 10 species
GGCUUGGGUCCAAAGCCCUUGCUUUUCCUAGUGCUCUAUAAACCCUGGGGCUAGAAGGAUCAUCUAGAUCCCACCCACCUUCCUUCCCACCCCGAGGCCUGGGCACAUCCUGUUCUCUCCAUCUGGAAGCUCUUUCCUCAGAUCCCAAAAAGGCUCCUUUCCCCACUCGAUUCAGGUCUCUGGUCAGACAUCACCUCCUCCUAGGGCUCUCCUGGACCAUUCCUCACCCAGCCACUCUUUGGUCUUACUUGUCCUGACUGCAUUGUUCUUUUUUUGGGAGACAGGGUCUUGCUCAGUUGCCCAGGCUGGAGUGCAGUGGCACGGUCCUAGCUCACUACCGCCUCACACUCUGGGGCUCAGUCCUCCCGCCUCAGCCUCCCAAGUAGCUGGGACUACAGGCACGUACCACCAUGCCUAGCUAAUUUUUAUUUUUGUAGAGAUGGAGGUCUCCUAUGUUGUCCAGGCUGGUUCCAAACUCCUGGCCUCAAAAAAUCCUCCUGCCUCAGCCUCCCAAAACUCUGGGAUUACAGGUGUGAGCCACCACCCGGCCUGUGUUCUCCAGCGCCGCCUGAUGUUGCAUCAGGUGCUUAUUGGUGUAUUUGGUUUGUGUCGGCCUCCACCAGGAUGUCAGCAAAUUGAGGGGAAGGACUUUGCCUAUCUUCCUACUGUAUUCCCAGCACCCUGAACAAGAUCCAACACUCAGUAUGGGAUCAAGUAAUGUAUGAGGAAUGAAUGAAUGAGCAGCAGCCCUGAAUGUAGAAUUGAACAAUACUCAUAAUCACAAUUCUCAGGAUCAAUGUCUGGCACCUAUGAAGGAGAGGGAAGGAAGGGCAUCUCUCACCGGAGAAGGAGUGAGUCUUCCAGACGGCAGCAGGAGACUGGUCCCCUGGGAUGUGGUAGGCAGGAGGUGUGUGGCUGGGCAAUGUCUUGGGGCUGAGCCCACCUUCAUGCCCAUUUUCUCUAACACAAAACCCUCCUCCAUGGACCACUGAGAGAACUCUUUUUUUUUUUUUUUUGGAGACAGAGUCUUGCUCUGUUGUACAGGCUGGAGUGCAGUGACGCGAUCUCGGCUUACUGCAACGGAAACCACCUUUGCAAAACUAUGACUGAGACAGUGAAAGAGAUCUAACUUCACCAACCAUCUUGCUUCUAAUCUCUCUCUUUUUUUUUUUUUUUUUUUGAGACAGAGUCUCGCUCUGUCGCCCAGGCUGGAGUGCAGUGGUGCGAUCUCGGCUCACUGCAAGCUCCGCCUGCUGGGUUCACGCCAUUCUCCUGCCUCAGCCUCCCGAGUAUUUGGGAAUACAGGCGCCCACCACCUCACCUGGCUAAUUUUUUUUGUAUUUUUAAUAGAGACAGGGUUUCACUGUGUUAGCCAGGAUGGUCUCAAUCUCCUGAUCUUGUGAUCAGCCCAUCUCGGCCUCCCAAAGUGCUGGGAUUACAGGCAUGAGCCACCUCAUCUGGCCCUUGCUUCUAAUCUCUAAACCGUCCUUGUUCAUUUCUGGGCAUAGGCUGAACUAACUUUGGGAGAAACUUAGUUUAUAAACAAAGAUGGUAACAGCCCUUUCCCAAAGCAGACUUCCCUGUUGCCUGGGGACUAGAUUGCCUUUGUAGGACUAACAUUAGCCACAAGAUUAGAAAUUAUGGUUUAGGGCCGGGCAUGGUGGCUCACGCCUGUAAUCCCAGCACUUUGGGAGGCCGAGGCGGG